rnacentral:rRNA from 1 species
UACGUAGGGUGCAAGCGUUAAUCGGAAUUACUGGGCGUAAAGCGUGCGCAGGCGGCUUUGCAAGACAGAUGUGAAAUCCCCGGGCUUAACCUGGGAACUGCAUUUGUGACUGCAUGGCUAGAGUGCGGCAGAGGGGGAUGGAAUUCCGCGUGUAGCAGUGAAAUGCGUAGAUAUGCGGAGGAACACCGAUGGCGAAGGCAAUCCCCUGGACCUGUACUGACGCUCAUGCACGAAAGCGUGGGGAUCAAACAGG